AGAACCAGUGUUCACUACGUCGCGUUUUGGAAAACCAGUAAUAUUACUAGGAGGAUACAGGUUUAAUAAGUACUGGAGGUGUAAGGGGCCGAAAGCCAGAAGAACCGAUAUACACAACAUCGCGUUUCGGGCGUCCUGUUAUUCUUCUUGGAAAGUAUCGCUUCAACAGACAGACAAAGUAUAAGGGCGUGAAGGCGAUUUGGUUGUGUUCUAAUACCAGAGGAUGUCGUGCUUCAAUCGUUACCAUCGAGGACAAUAUUGUUAGAAUUAAUAAUAAUCAUACACACUGAAAAUUAUUGACGUCCGAUACUAUUUAAUAUAUGUAUUUUAGAGGUAUUUUGUAAUCCUAAUAUUUUUAUUCUAGAGUAGCCAUACAAUUUCGAUUUUGUUUACGCUUCGAGCUAUAAUAUCCCAGAGCUGUGCAUAGGUCUCUUCCUCAUGUUGGAGAAGGAUCAGAGCUUAAUCCACUUAAUCAUUUAAUUUUCGGUUUUGUUAAUUAUAUAAUAUUUUACAGUCAACUAAUUCUCACGAACCUGUAGCCCACAAAGUGCAGUUAUUUUGCUCGGUUACCACUAGCUUUUCUUAGUUUAAGGGACAGGGUUCCAAUUAUUUUGAAUCCACUUAUAAAACAGGAGGAGGUUGUCUAUUUUACUGUAUUGUAUUUAUGUGUACUUUAUAACUUUUUACUGCGUGUACCGAUUUUGAUGAUUUUUUUUUUAAUCGAAAGCUGUUGCUUGUCAUGUAAUGCCCAUUUCAAAUUGAUUGAGAUCUGACGAGCACUUUUUGAGUAAUCCGUAAUAAUUAUAUAUAUUCUCUUAUUUAACUGAAUAUUUAUUAAAGUAUCUACCUACCUACGGUCUUGUUGGCACUUUUUGAUGCAAAUUUGAUUCGGUUCUUUGUCGUUCACGAGUAAACACAGUUAUUGUAUAACAAAGUUUAAUAAAAGAAGAUUUCUUAUACCUUAUCUAUUGAAAUAUUACCUUUAAACAAUGUAAUAGUUAUUAGCAUUGAUUGUAUUGUAUUUUUAUUAACUGUUGUAUCAAAUUAGUAAUAAAAUAUAAAUUGGCGUUUAUUGUUUA
rnacentral:misc_RNA from 1 species